GGAUGUGAGGGCGAUCUGGCUGCGACAUCUGUCACCCCAUUGAUCGCCAGGGUUGAUUCGGCUGAUCUGGCUGGCUAGGCGGGUGUCCCCUUCCUCCCUCACCGCUCCAUGUGCGUCCCUCCCGAAGCUGCGCGCUCGGUCGAAGAGGACGACCUUCCCCGAUAGAGGAGGACCGUUCUUCGGUCAAGGGUAUACGAGUAGCUGCGCUCCCCUGCUAGAACCUCCAAACAAGCUCCCAAGGUCCAUAAGGGUCUAAUCAGCUGUUAAACCUAUCUGUAUCAUGUUUCAGUUAUAUAAUUUUCAGAUAGGUGCUCUUCGAGUUCAUAU
ensembl:misc_RNA 7SK 7SK RNA